GGCUCUGCUCAGCGCGAUUCUACUGAGAGAGGCCUGAGUGUGCAAGAGCUUGGCGAACACAGAACUUUUUACGGGUAUCGAGGCGGUGCGUGGACUGAAGAAGGGCGAGGGCGAUUGGGGAGGGGUGGGGGGUGGUGGCUGGGAAGGGCGAUCGGGAGGCGCGGGCACUCUCUAGCAGGUGGCCGCAGCCAUGGAGGAGAUCUCUGCCGCCGCUGUCAAGGUCGUGCCGGGCCCGGAGCGCCCGAGCCCUUUCAGCCAGCUAGUCUAUACCAGCAACGACUCCUACAUCGUCCACUCUGGGGAUCUUAGAAAGAUCCAUAAAGCUGCCUCCCGGGGACAAGUCCGGAAGCUGGAGAAGAUGACAAAGAGGAAGAAGACCAUCAACCUUAAUAUACAAGACGCCCAGAAGAGGACUGCUCUACACUGGGCCUGUGUCAAUGGCCAUGAGGAAGUAGUAACAUUUCUGGUAGACAGAAAGUGCCAGCUUGACGUCCUUGAUGGCGAACACAGGACACCUCUGAUGAAGGCUCUACAAUGCCAUCAGGAGGCUUGUGCAAAUAUUCUGAUAGAUUCUGGUGCCGAUAUAAAUCUCGUAGAUGUGUAUGGCAACACGGCUCUCCAUUAUGCUGUUUAUAGUGAGAUUUUGUCAGUGGUGGCAAAACUGCUGUCCCAUGGUGCAGUCAUCGAAGUGCACAACAAGGCUAGCCUCACACCACUUUUACUAUCCAUAACGAAAAGAAGUGAGCAAAUUGUGGAAUUUUUGCUGAUAAAAAAUGCAAAUGCGAAUGCAGUUAAUAAGUAUAAAUGCACAGCCCUCAUGCUUGCUGUAUGUCAUGGAUCAUCAGAGAUAGUUGGCAUGCUUCUUCAGCAAAAUGUUGACGUCUUUGCUGCAGAUAUAUGUGGAGUAACUGCAGAACAUUAUGCUGUUACUUGUGGAUUUCAUCACAUUCAUGAACAAAUUAUGGAAUAUAUACGAAAAUUAUCUAAAAAUCAUCAAAAUACCAAUCCAGAAGGAACAUCUGCAGGAACACCUGAUGAGGCUGCACCCUUGGCGGAAAGAACACCUGACACAGCUGAAAGCUUGGUGGAAAAAACACCUGAUGAGGCUGCACCCUUGGUGGAAAGAACACCUGACACGGCUGAAAGCUUGGUGGAAAAAACACCUGAUGAGGCUGCAUCCUUGGUGGAGGGAACAUCUGACAAAAUUCAAUGUUUGGAGAAAGCGACAUCUGGAAAGUUCGAACAGUCAGCAGAAGAAACACCUAGGGAAAUUACGAGUCCUGCAAAAGAAACAUCUGAGAAAUUUACGUGGCCAGCAAAAGGAAGACCUAGGAAGAUCGCAUGGGAGAAAAAAGAAGACACACCUAGGGAAAUUAUGAGUCCCGCAAAAGAAACAUCUGAGAAAUUUACGUGGGCAGCAAAAGGAAGACCUAGGAAGAUCGCAUGGGAGAAAAAAGAAACACCUGUAAAGACUGGAUGCGUGGCAAGAGUAACAUCUAAUAAAACUAAAGUUUUGGAAAAAGGAAGAUCUAAGAUGAUUGCAUGUCCUACAAAAGAAUCAUCUACAAAAGCAAGUGCCAAUGAUCAGAGGUUCCCAUCAGAAUCCAAACAAGAGGAAGAUGAAGAAUAUUCUUGUGAUUCUCGGAGUCUCUUUGAGAGUUCUGCAAAGAUUCAAGUGUGUAUACCUGAGUCUAUAUAUCAAAAAGUAAUGGAGAUAAAUAGAGAAGUAGAAGAGCCUCCUAAGAAGCCAUCUGCCUUCAAGCCUGCCAUUGAAAUGCAAAACUCUGUUCCAAAUAAAGCCUUUGAAUUGAAGAAUGAACAAACAUUGAGAGCAGAUCCGAUGUUCCCACCAGAAUCCAAACAAAAGGACUAUGAAGAAAAUUCUUGGGAUUCUGAGAGUCUCUGUGAGACUGUUUCACAGAAGGAUGUGUGUUUACCCAAGGCUACACAUCAAAAAGAAAUAGAUAAAAUAAAUGGAAAAUUAGAAGAGUCUCCUAAUAAAGAUGGUCUUCUGAAGGCUACCUGCGGAAUGAAAGUUUCUAUUCCAACUAAAGCCUUAGAAUUGAAGGACAUGCAAACUUUCAAAGCAGAGCCUCCGGGGAAGCCAUCUGCCUUCGAGCCUGCCACUGAAAUGCAAAAGUCUGUCCCAAAUAAAGCCUUGGAAUUGAAAAAUGAACAAACAUUGAGAGCAGAUGAGAUACUCCCAUCAGAAUCCAAACAAAAGGACUAUGAAGAAAAUUCUUGGGAUACUGAGAGUCUCUGUGAGACUGUUUCACAGAAGGAUGUGUGUUUACCCAAGGCUGCGCAUCAAAAAGAAAUAGAUAAAAUAAAUGGAAAAUUAGAAGGUAGAUAUGCUGCUGAAUUUAGAACAUUCUCUGCAAUGAUAAGGUCUCCUGUUAAAGAUGGUCUUCUGAAGGCUAACUGCGGAAUGAAAGUUUCUAUUCCAACUAAAGCCUUAGAAUUGAUGGACAUGCAAACUUUCAAAGCAGAGCCUCCCGAGAAGCCAUCUGCCUUCGAGCCUGCCAUUGAAAUGCAAAAGUCUGUUCCAAAUAAAGCCUUGGAAUUGAAGAAUGAACAAACAUUGAGAGCAGAUGAGAUACUCCCAUCAGAAUCCAAACAAAAGGACUAUGAAGAAAGUUCUUGGGAUUCUGAGAGUCUCUGUGAGACUGUUUCACAGAAGGAUGUGUGUUUACCCAAGGCUGCGCAUCAAAAAGAAAUAGAUAAAAUAAAUGGAAAAUUAGAAGGUAGAUAUGCUGCUGAAUUUAGAACAUUCUCUGCAAUGAUAAGGUCUCCUGUUAAAGAUGGUCUUCUGAAGGCUAACUGCGGAAUGAAAGUUUCUAUUCCAACUAAAGCCUUAGAAUUGAUGGACAUGCAAACUUUCAAAGCAGAGCCUCCCGAGAAGCCAUCUGCCUUCGAGCCUGCCAUUGAAAUGCAAAAGUCUGUUCCAAAUAAAGCCUUGGAAUUGAAGAAUGAACAAACAUUGAGAGCAGAUGAGAUACUCCCAUCAGAAUCCAAACAAAAGGACUAUGAAGAAAGUUCUUGGGAUUCUGAGAGUCUCUGUGAGACUGUUUCACAGAAGGAUGUGUGUUUACCCAAGGCUACGCAUCAAAAAGAAAUAGAUAAAAUAAAUGGAAAAUUAGAAGAGUCUCCUGAUAAUGAUGGUUUUCUGAAGGCUCCCUGCAGAAUGAAAGUUUCUAUUCCAACUAAAGCCUUAGAAUUGAUGGACAUGCAAACUUUCAAAGCAGAGCCUCCCGAGAAGCCAUCUGCCUUCGAGCCUGCCAUUGAAAUGCAAAAGUCUGUUCCAAAUAAAGCCUUGGAAUUGAAGAAUGAACAAACAUUGAGAGCAGAUCAGAUGUUCCCUUCAGAAUCAAAACAAAAGAAGGUUGAAGAAAAUUCUUGGGAUUCUGAGAGUCUCCGUGAGACUGUUUCACAGAAGGAUGUGUGUGUACCCAAGGCUACACAUCAAAAAGAAAUGGAUAAAAUAAGUGGAAAAUUAGAAGAUUCAACUAGCCUAUCAAAAAUCUUGGAUACAGUUCAUUCUUGUGAAAGAGCAAGGGAACUUCAAAAAGAUCACUGUGAACAACGUACAGGAAAAAUGGAACAAAUGAAAAAGAAGUUUUGUGUACUGAAAAAGAAACUGUCAGAAGCAAAAGAAAUAAAAUCACAGUUAGAGAACCAAAAAGUUAAAUGGGAACAAGAGCUCUGCAGUGUGAGAUUGACUUUAAACCAAGAAGAAGAGAAGAGAAGAAAUGCCGAUAUAUUAAAUGAAAAAAUUAGGGAAGAAUUAGGAAGAAUCGAAGAGCAGCAUAGGAAAGAGUUAGAAGUGAAACAACAACUUGAACAGGCUCUCAGAAUACAAGAUAUAGAAUUGAAGAGUGUAGAAAGUAAUUUGAAUCAGGUUUCUCACACUCAUGAAAAUGAAAAUUAUCUCUUACAUGAAAAUUGCAUGUUGAAAAAGGAAAUUGCCAUGCUAAAACUGGAAAUAGCCACACUGAAACACCAAUACCAGGAAAAGGAAAAUAAAUACUUUGAGGACAUUAAGAUUUUAAAAGAAAAGAAUGCUGAACUUCAGAUGACCCUAAAACUGAAAGAGGAAUCAUUAACUAAAAGGGCAUCUCAAUAUAGUGGGCAGCUUAAAGUUCUGAUAGCUGAGAACACAAUGCUCACUUCUAAAUUGAAGGAAAAACAAGACAAAGAAAUACUAGAGGCAGAAAUUGAAUCACACCAUCCUAGACUGGCUUCUGCUGUACAAGACCAUGAUCAAAUUGUGACAUCAAGAAAAAGUCAAGAACCUGCUUUCCACAUUGCAGGAGAUGCUUGUUUGCAAAGAAAAAUGAAUGUUGAUGUGAGUAGUACGAUAUAUAACAAUGAGGUGCUCCAUCAACCACUUUCUGAAGCUCAAAGGAAAUCCAAAAGCCUAAAAAUUAAUCUCAAUUAUGCAGGAGAUGCUCUAAGAGAAAAUACAUUGGUUUCAGAACAUGCACAAAGAGACCAACGUGAAACACAGUGUCAAAUGAAGGAAGCUGAACACAUGUAUCAAAACGAACAAGAUAAUGUGAACAAACACACUGAACAGCAGGAGUCUCUAGAUCAGAAAUUAUUUCAACUACAAAGCAAAAAUAUGUGGCUUCAACAGCAAUUAGUUCAUGCACAUAAGAAAGCUGACAACAAAAGCAAGAUAACAAUUGAUAUUCAUUUUCUUGAGAGGAAAAUGCAACAUCAUCUCCUAAAAGAGAAAAAUGAGGAGAUAUUUAAUUACAAUAACCAUUUAAAAAACCGUAUAUAUCAAUAUGAAAAAGAGAAAGCAGAAACAGAAAACUCAUGAGAGACAAGCAGUAAGAAACUUCUUUUGGAGAAACAACAGACCAGAUCUUUACUCACAACUCAUGCUAGGAGGCCAGUCCUAGCAUCACCUUAUGUUGAAAAUCUUACCAAUAGUCUGUGUCAACAGAAUACUUAUUUUAGAAGAAAAAUUCAUGAUUUCUUCCUGAAGCCUACAGACAUAAAAUAACAGUGUGAAGAAUUACUUGUUCACGAAUUGCAUAAAGCUGCACAGGAUUCCCAUCUACCCUGAUGAUGCAGCAGACAUCAUUCAAUCCAACCAGAAUCUCGCUCUGUCACUCAGGCUGGAGUGCAGUGGCGCAAUCUCGGCUCACUGCAAACUCUGCCUCCCAGGUUCACGCCAUUCUCCUGCCACAGCCUCCCGAGUAGCUGGGACUACAGGCGCCCGCCACCAAGCACAGCUAAGUUUUUUAUUUAUAGUAGAGACGGGGUUUCACUGUGUUAGCCAGGAUGGUCUCGAUCUCCUGACCUCGUGAUCUGCCUGCCUCGGCCUCCCAAAGUGCCGGGAUUACAGGCGUGAGCCACCGCGCCGGGCCUGAUUUCAGUUUCUUCCAGCCCUUCCUAUUGUUAACAUGGGGGUUGUGUUGAAGAAUAUAAAGUUACAAAGUCAAGGAAGUAGGAAACAUUUUUACAAGUAUUAUGUAGCCAUCUUGGUGGGGCUGUGGUGAGGUAGGCUGCAAAUGAUUCUCCUAUUUCUUUCCCUGAGUUCAGAACAUAGGAAUUAGAUUGAUAGACAUCAACAUACCCGCUUUAUUGCUGACUCAUGACAACUAAUGGGAAGACAUGGCUCAGAUGUGCAGCCACAGUGAGCUUCUGAACAUUUCUUCUCAGACUAAGCUCUUACACACAGUUGCAGUUGAAAGAAAGAAUUGCUUGACAUGGCCACAGGAGCAGGCAGCUUCCUGCAGACAUGACAGUCAACGCAAACUCAUGUCACUGUGGGCAGACACAUGUUUGCAAAGAGACUCAGAGCCAAACAAGCACACUCAAUGUGCUUUGCCCAAAUUUACCCAUUAGGUAAAUCUUCCCUCCUCCCAAGAAGAAAGUGGAGAGAGCAUGAGUCCUCACAUGGAAACUUGAAGUCAGGGAAAUGAAGGCUCACCAAUUAUUUGUGCAUGGGUUUAAGUUUUCCUUGAAAUUAAGUUCAGGUUUGUCUUUGUGUGUACCAAUUAAUGACAAGAGGUUAGAUAGAAGUAUGCUAGAUGGCAAAGAGAAAUAUGUUUUGUGUCUUCAAUUUUGCUAAAAAUAACCCAGAACAUGGAUAAUUCAUUUAUUAAUUGAUUUUGGUAAGCCAAGUCCUAUUUGGAGAAAAUUAAUAGUUUUUCUAAAAAAGAAUUUUCUCAAUAUCACCUGGCUUGAUAACAUUUUUCUCCUUCGAGUUCCUUUUUCUGGAGUUUAACAAACUUGUUCUUUACAAAUAGAUUAUAUUGACUACCACUCACUGAUGUUAUGAUAUUAGUUUCUAUUGCUUACUUUGUAUUUCUAAUUUUAGGAUUCACAAUUUAGCUGGAGAACUAUUUUUUAACCUGUUGCACCUAAACAUGAUUGAGCUAGAAGACAGUUUUACCAUAUGCAUGCAUUUUCUCUGAGUUAUAUUUUAAAAUCUAUACAUUUCUCCUAAAUAUGGAGGAAAUCACUGGCAUCAAAUGCCAGUCUCAGACGGAAGACCUAAAGCCCAUUUCUGGCCUGGAGCUACUUGGCUUUGUGACCUAUGGUGAGGCAUAAGUGCUCUGAGUUUGUGUUGCCUCUUUUGUAAAAUGAGGGUUUGACUUAAUCAGUGAUUUUCAUAGCUUAAAAUUUUUUUGAAGAACAGAACUUUUUUUAAAAACAGUUAGAUGCAACCAUAUUAUAUAAAACAGAACAGAUACAAGUAGAGCUAACUUGCUAAAGAAAGGAUGGAGGCUCUGAAGCUGUGACUUCAUUAUCCCUUAAUACUGCUAUGUCCUCUGUAGUACCUUAGAUUUCUAUGGGACAUCGUUUAAAAACUAUUGUUUAUGCGAGAGCCUUGCUAAUUUCCUAAAAAUUGUGGAUACAUUUUUUCUCCCAUGUAUAAUUUUCUCACCUUCUAUUUAAAAAGAAAAAAAAAGUCAGUGUAGUAUUUACAUAUUUUACCCUAUAAGGAGCUAACAUAACUUUUGAUUUAGUGUUAUUCAUAAAAUUAGGUUAGCAGUUUAUUAACCUUUUGUAUUUGCUCUGGCAAUGUUUAAUAUCUCAUAAGCUAUACACACCUCGAAGCCAUCAAUGACAACCUUUUCUUGCUGAAUAGAACAGUGAUUGAUGUCAUGAAGACAAUUUUAUCUCCUUUUGCCUUCCAUAAUUUGUACCAGGUUAUAUAAUAGUAUAACACUGCCAAGGAGCGGAUUAUCUCAUCUUCAUCCUGUAAUUCCAGUGUUUGUCACGUGGUUGUUGAAUAAAUGAAUAAAGAAUGAGAAAACCAGAAGCUCUGAUACAUAAUCAUAAUGAUAAUUAUUUCAAUGCACAACUACGGGUGGUGCUGAACUAGAAUCUAUAUUUUCUGAAACUGGCUCCUCUAGGAUCUACUAAUGAUUUAAAUCUAAAAGAUGAAGUUAGUAAAGCAUCAGAAAAAAAAGGUAAACAAAUUGCUCCUGUGGAGAUGAUUGGCAUCACAUGGUGUUUUGAGCUGAUACACCCAACACUUGAGCUCACUGCAACAGUACCAGAUUUUCACCGCUAUGCCUCCUUUCACUCUGGGAGUCUUCCAGAGGUCUUGCACUCGGGAGAGCAUGCUCAGGUUUCCCCAGCUCUACAAAAUCACCCAGAAUGCCAAAGACUUCAACACAAGGGUAAAUAAGGUUGAUCUCAGAAUUGUCACCUCAAAAAGGCCCUGCCUUCCACUGUUCAGUUCUGGUCAUCUGCCUAUGAGAUAUCUGAAGCUUGAAAGAGAACACUUGAAAAUCACUGAGACCGUGACUCCCAUCCCAGCACACACAGCAAGCCAACCCCUGAGGUCAAUGUGGGCAGCAGCCCCCAUGGUCCAAGUUCAAGAUCCGCUGUGGAAGACUUUUUUAGGCAAUCACACAGCCCUGCAUGGAGUCCUGAUGAGAGCUUGCCUAAUUGUUGCUAGAGUCCACACCAUGGAAACCGAUUCCUCAUCUUUUAAGAAUACCAUAUGGAUACUUAUAUAUAGGCAUGAAUUAAGCAACUAGGCCUUUCAACAGUUUUGGAGAAGGCCAUUUCCCACUUUUAAAAUAAAUAAUGCUCCUAUAAGAUCAGAUACUGUGUUGACCAGUGGUCAUGCCACUGCCUGUUGAUUUGUUGAAAAUAUUGUUUACACGUAUGUUCUUGUUACUGAUUGUCAGAAAGCUGGUUUUGAGACUGCAGCUUGGACUAAAUUCAGUCAUCUGGCUGUCUGGGGAAGCAUGCUGACCAGUCUGGUGUUCUUUGGCAUCUACUCAGCCAUCUGGUCCACCAUUCUCAUUGCCCCAAAUAUGAGAGGACAGUGCAUGAGAUUCAGCCAUCAACCGUGAUGAACUGGAUCAUGGAAUCUAACAAUAUCAAGUUUGGAUAGAAAGGAGCUUGGCAAUCUUGUGGUCCAUGCCUCCUCAAUUUACCAAGGAAGCUGUGCAAGCUCAGGUCUCCAGGUUCAUCCCAGAGACCCCACCCUGGGGUUGCCCGCAGCAUUCCUGUCCUUAGACCCCAAAAACAGGCUGCUGGGCCCUGUAUUUAGGGACCUCUGCACUGGCUCUUCUUCUCUGGGUGUAUUUCUCUGCACAGAGUGAAAAGCUGUGAUGCACACAGCCAGUCUUCCCACUUCUAAUCUGUUCUCUGGGCUCCCAGGAACCCAAGCCUCUUUCUCAAACAGCCAAAUGCCCACUGCCCAGGCCUGCCUGGGCCUCCUUCCAGAUCAAGGCCAGUUUGCACAACCUUAGGCCCAAGGGACAGUUGUUUGCAAGGGGUGUGCACUGAGUAGAUUGAUGUUUGCACUGGUGUUUCCACCGACGUUUAAAGGAGGAUGUUCAUGCUGGGGCACAGAACCCAGGUGGAAAGGGAAGAACUGUGGGUCAGACUUUAAUUGGUGUUUCCCACCCAGGAAUACAUAUUUUAGGGGCAGGUCUGGGCAUGGCACAGCUGUCUGCUAUCUCUGCCUCACUUACUCUGCGGAAGUAAACAAACCCCCCUGGGUUAACCCAA